rnacentral:misc_RNA from 1 species
AAAUCAGUUAACUCAAGUGGU